GAUUCAUUCCGUUAUUCAACAUGUUCGGAUCUUUGAUAUAAAAAGUAGCUCAGAUCGAGUCAGUUUCACAAGCAAUUUGACUUUACCAAAGUUUACAAAUAUUUAAGUACCUUUUAAUAAGGAAACAAGUCUUCUUUUGCACUUGUGCUACAAAAUCAGAAAGAUGGCGUCAUCUCGAUUCCUCUACCUUUUCGCGGUUGUUGUCCUCGUGGCUGUCGUGUCUGAAACGGAGGGGCAAGUUGGGAGCACGGGGUGCAGUCGUAAAUGGGCUCCGGCCGGGUGGUGUUGGCGUUACUGCUCGGGAUCGUCGGGCAGUUGGUGUUACACGGGGCGGCAGGGGCCAUGUGAGACGGCCUCUUGCACGGGAGGGUCCUGUUCAGGGAUAAGUUGCCGAGGGGCCGCUGCGGGCUGUGUCGGGCACUGUUCGUAAUAAGUAAAUUCAGUCGGAUAUGUUUCGCAGGAAGUAAAAAGUUUAAAAUAUGUAUGUAUAUGUAUAAAAAAUUAAUUUCAAAAUUUGAAUUUUAUUCGAUUUGUAACGUAUUUA